rnacentral:lncRNA from 1 species
GCGUACAUGAGGAUUCGCGCCUCAAGCGUGGCGGCGGCUCUUGCAGCACUAAGCGUGCUCUUUUGCGGACGGGGGGGGGAAUGUAGUCAUGGGUCGGACUACAACUCCCAGCGGCCCCUCAUAAAUCUCGUAUGUGCACACGGCUCCGGCCUGACUGCACUCUGCCGUUGUCGUCGUAGGUGCGUGGGGGGGAAGGGAGCGAGCGCGGCAGUGAGGAGGGGGUUAGAGUUGAGAGUUUAUCUGCCGCCGUUGUUGUUGUUUUCUGUUUGGACUCAUGAUUCCUAUAUGCCCGGUAGUGUCGUUCACCUAUGUGCCCAGCCGGCUGGGAGAAGAUGCCAAAAUGGCCACCGGCAACUACUUUGGUUUCACCCAUAGCGGGGCUGCUGCCCAGUAUAGGUAACCGCCGCGACCCCUCCCUGCCCCGCUCGCUAUUCGGGUCCGGAGCCACCUCUCCCCUUUUCAACUCCGGUCCUGUGUCCCUGACUGGGAUCUCUCCGCCCCCUCGGGGGUGAGUUCUCGGGACUGGCUCCCAUCCCCCGCCCCGCGUGGGGGCCUCUUCUGCACCCUGCUCAUCCGGCAUGGUUGUGCUUGGGAUCCUUCUGUUUGUCUGCACCGCCCGCGGGUGUGUUUUUUUUACACUCCUGGUAAAGGCCUCCCUGUAUUCUCAGUUGUGUGAGGGUGGGGAGGUGGAGCCGGGCACCACGGAGGAGGAGGAGAAUCAGCGGCAGCAUCAGGUCCUUAGAUUAAAAUGGCUACUUGCAUUCAACAAUAUCGGCGAGUUACUGUCUGCCGCCCCCGGGUCCUUCUUCAGCUUCAGGGAAGAUGGGCUUUGUUUCCCAAGUUUUUGCCUCCCCCUAUGUCAGUGUGGGAGGAUGGAAUCCUUUUUAACAUAGGUUAAAAUUACACCAACCCAACCUAUGGGAGACUGCAUAGUAAGGGAAGAGCUGAAGCACCAGAAAAUACAGGGGACUGUCUCAUUCCACUGAAGCAAUGCUAUAAUUACUGUCACUCAGAAAGUAGAUAAGGUAUUUUUGGGGCCAGGCACCUUUUGAAAAGGUUUCCUACUUAAAUAUCGAAGACCAAGAGCAGGUCUUACAGUGGAACUCAGGGGUCUGUAACUGUACAUCUUGUAUAGACAUACUGCCUUAAAUCUUUGUAUCUUUGUACUCUUUGUGCAUCCAAAUUCUGUAUCAGUGUUAGUAAUUGGUAGCACCUGUUAUCUCACUUUUUCUGAAAUCAAAUGACUUGAUUUGGCAACAAACACAUUCAAUCAGGAACAUCCUAACAUUUUUUUGCUUUUAUUGAAGUAAUACCUUGAAGUCCACAUUUAAAUCUGCAUUCUUCAUUUCAUAAAUCUGUAAUAAAGAACUUCCUUGACUCCGAAGUCUUGGUUAA